CUGACACUCUGAGUUUCACUAAACACGCUAUGCAGUUUAUGGAUGGCAGAUUUGAAUUACAACGUCCAUUUUGAACAGAUUACACCAGAAAAGUACCAAACUCGCACACACGGCUAGCCUGACAUGUGUCCCAACUACUCGUGCCUGGUGGUCAUCGCUAUGUGUUUCGUUGGGUCAGUUCAGUCUUUGAAGUUCCAGUGCUCGAACACAACGUGUAUAGAGAAUUUACAAGUGUGUGACGGUAAACAAGACUGUGCUGAUGGGAGAGAUGAGGAAA